AAUGAACGUUGGCGGCGUGGAUUAGGCAUGCAAGUCGAACGCUUUAUGUAGCAAUACAUGAAGAGUGGCGUAAGGGAGAGUAAUACACAGUUAGCUACCCUCGGGUCUGGGAUAGCGGCGGGAAACUGCCAGUAAUACCAGAUGAUGUCUUCGGACCAAAGGUGUGAUUUCGCCCGAGGAGGUGACUGUGUCCUAUCAGCUAGUUGGC
rnacentral:rRNA from 1 species